rnacentral:rRNA from 1 species
CUACGGGCUGCACCAGUGAGGAAUAUUGCACAAUGGGGGGAACCCUGAUGCAGCAACGCCGCGUGGAGGAUGACGCAUUUCGGUGUGUAAACUCCUUUUAUAUGUCAAGAAAAUGACGGUAGCAUAUGAAUAAGCACCGGCUAACUCCGUGCCAGCAGCCGCGGUAAUACGGAGGGUGCAAGCGUUACUCGGAAUCACUGGGCGUAAAGGACGCGUAGGCGGGUUGGAAAGUCAGGUGUGAAAUCCUACGGCUUAACUGUAGAACUGCACUUGAAACUUCUAAUCUAGAGUAUGGGAGGGGGAGAUGGAAUUAGUGGUGUAGGGGUAAGAUCCGUAGAUAUCACUAGGAAUACCUAAAGCGAAGGCGAUCUCCUGGAACAUUACUGACGCUAAGGCGUGAAAGCGUGGGGAGCAAACAGGAUUAGAUACCCGCGUAGUC